rnacentral:rRNA from 1 species
GCGAAGUCGCAAGACGAUGUAUAUGGACUGACGCCUGCCCGGUGCUGGAAGGUUAAAAGGAGAGGUGAGAGCUUUGAAUUGAAGCCCCAGUAAACGGCGGCCGUAACUAUAACGGUCCUAAGGUAGCGAAAUUCCUUGUCGGGUAAGUUCCGACCUGCACGAAUGGCGUAACGACUUCCCCACUGUCUCCAGCAUCGACUCAGCGAAAUUGAAUUGCCCGUGAAGAUGCGGGCUACCCGCGGUUAGACGGAAAGACCCCGUGCACCUUUACUACAGCUUUGCAUUGGACUUUGAACCUAUUUGUGUAGGAUAGGUGGGAGACUUUGAAGCGUGAACGCUAGUUUGCGUGGAGUCAUCCUUGAAAUACCACCCUGGUAUGUUUGGAGUCCUAACCCAGGUCCGUAAUCCGGAUCGGGGACAAUGUAUGGUGGGUAGUUUGACUGGGGCGGUCUCCUCCUAAAGAGUAACGGAGGAGCGCGAAGGUACCCUCAGCAUGGUCGGAAAUCAUGCAAUGAGUGCAAUAGCAUAAGGGUGCUUGACUGCGAGACAGACACGUCGAGCAGGUACGAAAGUAGG